rfam:Schistosoma mansoni strain Puerto Rico chromosome 6, complete genome
AUCCAGCUGACGAGUCCCAAAUAGGACGAACCGCGCUUGCUGGAU